GAUGAACGCUAGCUACAGGCUUAACACAUGCAAGUCGCGGGGCAGCAUGGGGGUUGCUUGCAAUCCCCGAUGGCGACCGGCGCACGGGUGAGUAACGCGUAUCCAACCUGCCCUUCACCACGGGCUAACCCGGCGAAAGUCGGACUAAUACCGUAUGUUGUCCAUUGACGGCAUCCGAUUUGGACGAAAGGUUUGGCGGUGAAGGAUGGGGAUGCGUCCGAUUAGCUGGACGGCGGGGUGACGGCCCACCGUGGCGACGAUCGGUAGGGGUUCUGAGAGGAAGGUCCCCCACACUGGAACUGAGACACGGUCCAGACUCCUACGGGAGGCAGCAGUGAGGAAUAUUGGUCAAUGGGCGUAAGCCUGAACCAGCCAAGUAGCGUGCAGGAUGACGGCCCUAUGGGUUGUAAACUGCUUUUAUGCGGGGAUAAAGUGGCCCACGUGUGGGUUUUUGCAGGUACCGCAUGAAUAAGGACCGGCUAAUUCCGUG
rnacentral:rRNA from 1 species